UCCCUGGUAGCUCAGUGGUUAAAACGUCUGCCUGCAAUGCGGGAGACCCAGGUUCAAUUCCUGGGUUGGGAA
rnacentral:tRNA from 1 species